rnacentral:rRNA from 1 species
GAUGAACGCUGGCGGCGUGCCUAAUACAUGCAAGUCGAGCGAACGGACGAGAAGCUUGCUUCUCUGAUGUUAGCGGCGGACGGGUGAGUAACACGUGGAGAACCUACCUAUAAGACUGGGAUAACUUCGGGAAACCGGAGCUAAUACAGGAUAAUAUUUUGAACAGCAUGGUUCAAAAGUGAAAGACGGUCUUGCUGUCACUUAUAGAUGGAUCCGUGCUGCAUUAGCUAGUUGGUAAGGUAACGGAUUACCAAGGCAACGAUGCAUAGCCGACCUGAGAGAGUGAUCGCCCACAAUCGAACGUAGAAACGGUGCAGACUAGUACAGGAGGCAGCAGUAGUGAAUCUUCCGCAGUGGGCGAAGGCCUGACCGAGCAACGCCGCGUGAGUGGUGAAGGUCUUCCGAUCGUAAUACUCUGUUACUAGGCAACAACAUAUGUGUAAGUUACUGUGCACGUCUUGUCGGUACCUACUCAGAAAGCCACGGCUAACUACGGG